rnacentral:tRNA from 1 species
AUUUAAGUAGCUUAACUAAAGCACAUCUCUGAAGAAGAUAAGAUGAGACCUCUCCUUAAAUA